GACGAACGCUGGCGGCGGGCUUAACACAUGCAAGUCGAACGGAAAGGCCCUGCUUUUGUGGGGUGCUCGAGUGGCGAACGGGUGAGUAACACGUGAGUAACCUGCCCUUGACUUUGGGAUAACUUCAGGAAACUGGGGCUAAUACCGGAUAGGAGCUCCUGCUGCAUGGUGGGGGUUGGAAAGUUUCGGCGGGUGGGGAUGGACUCGCGGCUUAUCAGCUUGUUGGUGGGGUAGUGGCUUACCAAGGCUUUGACGGGUAGCCGGCCUGAGAGGGUGACCGGCCACACUGGGACUGAGAUACGGCCCAGACUCCUACGGGAGGCAGCAGUGGGGAAUAUUGCACAAUGGGCGGAAGCCUGAUGCAGCAACGCCGCGUGCGGGAUGACGGCCUUCGGGUUGUAAACCGCUUUCGCCUGUGACGAAGCGUGAGUGACGGUAAUGGGUAAAGAAGCACCGGCUAACUACGUG
rnacentral:rRNA from 1 species